UCUGUGCUGACAGCUCAGAGCCUGGAGCCUGUUUUAGAUUCUGUGUCUCCCUCUCUCUCUGACCCUCCCCCAUUCAUGCUCUGUCUCAAUAAAUAAACGUUAAAAAAAUAAACAAUAAAUAAAAUAAAAUUGAGCAAGAAAAAAUUCACUGCCUUUUGCACAAACACGUUCGCAAUCCUUCACGUUAACAAAGUUACUGUCAUUCCCUCCACAGCAAGUAUAAGUGAAGCCUUCCCAGGCUUUGCGUCUUGGAUUAAAGCAAUAGCGAAUCACAUUAGCAGAGCGCAGCCCCUCACCCUUCAAACUGUGGCAAAACUGAUGGACCUUUGCGGGGGGGAAAAAUCAGAAAUGCAAUAAUACCAGAAUUAAGAAGCUGUGACCAUCACUGAGGGAGCUGAAGAAGAUCGAAUCCCACAGAAACUUCAUUCUGAAUCCUAAAUAUACUAAACCGCUGAAAAAUUAGUGCCUCUGGGACACCUGGGUGGCUCAGCCAGGCUCUCUCACUAAUGACCUCUCACGGAGCUAGGAGAUUUGCCCAUUUCCAACUUCACGUCUAUUUUUAAAACCACAAACUUUCUUUCGCCACAAUUGUCACUGGCUUUGGACUUUGAAAUCAGCUACGGUGUUGCCACUUACUCUUUGCAGGACUCUGGAUAAGUGGCUUCGGCUCCGUUCUCUUAUAAAACAGUGUAAGAUACACCGGUUUCAAAACUUCUGGGGAAUCAAACAAGGGGAGAGGGCCCGCCUCAGAGAAUCAGCAGUCUCCCCGAAGUCGAUUGAUUGAUUGGCAAGUGGCUGGAACACUCAUGGGAUUCGAACUCGAGCCUUUCUAACCUCCAAACAGUCUUCCCCGGCCACCACAGUCCAGCCGGCUUCCCACAGGGGCCCGGGGAAGGGCCCCCAUCCCAGAGCAAAGCUAGUUUGUUUUCCGCUCCGGUGCCUCAUUAGAUGCAGCCAAGUUUUAUGCCCCUGGGUUUUCUAAGAGUGCGGGGUUGAUUAUUAAACCAGCUGAUAUGUGAAAAAUACUGAUAAGGUCAGUGCCAGCUCCCCCCCCCCCGCCC